CAGCGACGUUACACGUUAUUACGUCCUUUGCAGUUGUGAGCAUAAUCUAGUCCAAAACUCAGACCAAGUGGAGCACUAUUGAACGAGGAAAGGAAUGCAUGGCUUUAGACAAAUCACCAGCAAAAGUGCCCAGUUGGAGUUGGAGAUGAGAUCGCUGAUGACUACCAUUCCAGACACAACCUACCUCAAGUGUAUCAUUUUCCUCCCAGAUGAUUCUCACAUGAAAAUUGUCGCUUUGCAUUGAGUGUGAUUAGAGUUGUUCCUUACGUUUGCUGAAGAGUCA